AUUGAACGCUGGCGGCAUGCUUUACACAUGCAAGUCGAACGGCAGCGCGGGCUUCGGCCUGGCGGCGAGUGGCGAACGGGUGAGUAAUGCAUCGGAACGUGCCCAGUAGUGGGGGAUAGCCCGGCGAAAGCCGGAUUAAUACCGCAUACGACCUGAGGGUGAAAGCGGGGGACCGAAAGGCCUCGCGCUAUUGGAGCGGCCGAUGUCGGAUUAGCUAGUUGGUGGGGUAAAGGCUUACCAAGGCGACGAUCCGUAGCUGGUCUGAGAGGACGACCAGCCACAAUGGGGGUGGGACACGGCCCAGGCUCCUAAGGGAAGGAGCAGUGGGGAAUGUUAGGCAAUGGGGGGAACCCUUGUCCAACCAUGGCGCGUGCGGGGAAGAGGCCUUCCGGGUGGAAACCCGUUUUUUUCGGGAAAAAAACCUCUGGGCUGAUACCCCGGGGGGAUGACGGUACCGGAAGAAUAAGCACCGGCUAACUACGUG
rnacentral:rRNA from 1 species